AAUUAUUAAAGUGGAAACAUAAGUUUAUUUAACUUUUCAGUAAAUAUCUACUGAUUUAUAUUUCACUUUCAGAUUUAUUUUUUACUGAAGAAGGCUACAAUGCACAGCAGAACAACUGGCUUAUUCUGAGUUUCUACAUUGUUCUUCCUUUUAUCAUAAUUUUCGCCAUGAUGAUCAUGAAACGAAAUGAAACGAGAAAAUCAUGCAACAGAGAGAACGCAGAAUAUAAAGGGUGUUCAACUCAAAUUGUAAUGAUGCAGACUCAUCUAGAUCCUUGGUUUAGCCCUGAGGAUCUUGCCAUUUCUGGCCUAAAGUAUGAAAAAUCCCUUUGCUCAUCCACAAAGACCUCAAAUUCAACAUAUCUUCAACCCAUAAUUCAGCCAUUGUGCCAGAACACUAUGACAUGGACUACUGAUACUGCAAGCACUUCGCCAGCACAUGGCCCGUUUCCAGAGGAGAAAAUGCACGUUAGGACCCUUACGUCAUCCCUAAAUGCCUUUCAAGUGUCCGGGUUUGGAAACUAA
rnacentral:lncRNA from 1 species